GAUGAACGCUGGCGGCGUGCCUAAUACAUGCAAGUAGAACGCUGAAGGAAGGAGCUUGCUCUUUCCGGAUGAGUUGCGAACGGGUGAGUAACGCGUAGGUAACCUGCCUGGUAGCGGGGGAUAACUAUUGGAAACGAUAGCUAAUACCGCAUAACAGUAGAUGUUGCAUGAUAUCUACUUAAAAGGUGCAAUUGCACCACUACCAGAUGGACCUUCGUUGUAUUAGCUAGUUGGUGAGGUAACGGCUCACCAAGGCGACGAUACAUAGCCGACCUGAGAGGGUGAUCGGCCACACUGGGACUGAGACACGGCCCAGACUCCUACGGGAGGCAGCAGUAGGGAAUCUUCGGCAAUGGACGGAAGUCUGACCGAGCAACGCCGCGUGAGUGAAGAAGGUUUUCGGAUCGUAAAGCUCUGUUGUAAGAGAAGAACGAGUGUGAGAGUGGAAAGUUCACACUGUGACGGUAUCUUACCAGAAAGGGACGGCUAACUACGUG
rnacentral:rRNA from 1 species